UUUUUUUUCGAAAGAGUAUGU
rnacentral:piRNA from 1 species